rnacentral:lncRNA from 10 species
AAAAAAUACAGUCUGAAGAGACAGAGAACUUCAAAAACUGAAAAGCAAAGAGAAAAAAGACAGCAAAAGAAACAGAACAUAAUAUCCAAGAACUGUGGAACAACUAUGAAAGGUGUACAUGUAAUGGUAAUAACAAAAGGAGAAGAAAUAGAGAACACAAAAGAAAAAAGUAUUUGAAACAAUAAUGGCUUAGAAUUUCCCCCAAAUUAAUGUUAGACAUCAAACCACAAAUCUUGUAAGCUCAGGGAACACCAGACAGGAAAAAUACCAAAAAA